CGCUUGUUAGUCUAGGGGUAUGAUAUCCGCUUCGGGUACGGGAGGUCCCGGGUUCAAAUCCCGGAUGAGCCC